rnacentral:misc_RNA from 1 species
UUUGUCAUCUUCUCCUCUUUCUAUUCCAAUGGGAGGAGUAGCAGGAUCAACACUGCAAUUUUUAAGAGGAAGUCCGCAAAGCUCCUCAUUGCCCAUGAAGUUCGAUGAACUCAAGCUUUGUAAUUGAGUGCUGGAAGGGAUUAUCCCACUCAAGUUGUUGAAGGAUAAAUUUAAAUUGCUCAGGAAUGUCAACUUCGCUAGGCUUUGAGGGAUUUCACCAAAUAAUUGAUUUUGAGACAAAUCCACUACUUCUAUUGAUUCCAUAGCACCCAUAUUUGAAGGAAUUCUUCCGGUCAAGAAAUUUUGGGACAAAUUCAAAUAUCGCAGUGCUUCUAGGCUUGUUAUUUGCUUAGGAAUCUCUCCCUCUAGUUUAUUUUUGGAAAUAUCUAUACUUCUCACGAAUCUGAGAAUGCUGGUAUAUCCAUUCAUGCUCCCUUUUGUGACAAUGGAGAUGCUCUCCAAAAAUUCCCAUGUAUCAUAAGAUAUCUCCCCAGGAAGAUACAUGGAAUCAUGCUUAUUAACCAUUGCAUUGAAGUUGUUGAGACACUUGGGUAUGGUACCAGAAAGAUUGUUAUCAGCAAAAUCCAAAAUACAUAAAGAAGUCAUUAAACAUAACUGUUUAGGUAUGCGGCCAUGAAAUUUAUUUGUACGGAGAUUGAGAAUAAUCAUAUUUGAUAGUUUUUCCCCCAUCCAUUUUGGAAUACUUCCUUCUAAUCUAUUUUCACCAAAGUCUAAAAUGGAUAAUCCUGUACAAUUUUGAAGUGACGAUGGAAUUUCGCCCGAGAGGUUGUUGCUGCGAAGAUGCAGUGAAUCGAGAUGCCUUAAAGUUCCAAUGGACCAAGGAAUGUUGCCACUAAGUUUGUUGUUUCCUAAAAUUAAAACCCUCAGCCAUUUCCAUUUUGUCCAACAAUCUGGGAUUUCACCGGAUAAAAGAUUUCCUCCAAGGUCUAGAAUGUUCAAAUGCCCAGGCUCAUGCAUUUUGUAACAUAAGAACGCGGAUAAGGGUCCAGAAAAUGAAUUAUUGGAAAGAUAUAACACACUGGCGUUGGAGAACAUACAUGGCAAUGGACCCUGGAACCUAUUCGAGCCCAAGUCCACCAAUGAGCCUAAUAAGUUUCCCGGGUCAUAACUUUGAGGAAGAUUUGAUAUAUUUGGAAUUACUCCAUGGAUUUGGUUGUGGGAGAUAUUCAAGUAUAAAAUAUUGGAAGACAAUUUCCAGAACCAAACAGGGAUGGUGCUAGCAAUUCCUGAAUUUGACAGAUUUAGAAAUGAUAAAUACUUUAAUGAACGAAUCCAGUAGGGAAAGUGGGGCCCGAUUGUCCAAGACCCCAAAUCCAUUGCAGAAAUAUGAGGAGGGGGAUUCCAAUUGGGGCCCACUUUCAACCUCAAUUGAUUCCCAGAAGCCAAAAAACUGGACAAUUUAGUGAUAUUUGAAAAGUGAACUGCAGUGACAUCACCCUCCAAUAAAUUAUAAGAAAUGUCGACUGUUUCUAGUUCUCUAAGUCCUCCAAAACUAAAGGGGAGAGUUCCAUUCAGGUUGUUAUCAGAGAGGUAUAAAGCUCUCACCGAGGUGAAAUCUCCUAGAUAGAUGGGAAGUGGACCAGAUAGUUGACAAUUGCUUAAAUCUAGUUUCUCUAGCACAUUUGAAGCACAAGCAAACAGAAUUUCAAAGAUGUCUUUUAUCUCUUGGCUUAAUUUGAUCUUCCACAAAAUGAGUGACUUCAAAUUACAAAGAUUAUGGAACGACGCAGGAAUUCUUCCCUCAAGUUCAUUCACAGACAAGUCAAGGCUAACUAGAGAAGUCAUGUUUCCAAUAUCACUCGAAAUUUCACCUUGCAAUUGAUUGUCACGAAGAUUGAGGAGCUCAAGUUGGCUAAAACCAUAUAACCAAUCAGGUAUUGAAGAAUUAAAAAGGUUGGAAGCUAGAUCAAGUGCCUUGAGUGAAGUAAUGUUUUGAAUAAAAUGAAGCACGGGACCUUGAAAAAAGUUUCCAGACAAAUCAAGUACGGAAAGCGAUGAAAAGUUGACAUUUAGGAGUGGAGGAACAUUAGGAAGAUCACACAAUGAAAAGUGUAAUUCUUCCAGAGAAGGCAGGGCGUUGAUGACGUUCAACCAAUUGAUGGCUUGACUGAGAUUCACAAAAGUCAUAUCAAGGAAUUUUAAGGAAGAAAGACCAAAAAUCCAAUUCAAAUUCUCAACAUAUGGGUCAGAAUAAAGACUAUAGAGAUUAAGAUACUGCAAAUUUGAGAGAUUGCCAAGUUCAUGAGGAAUCAUUCCUCCGAAUCCUGCGCUAUAGAGGUUAAGAUGUGUUAACCUUUCCAUAGAGCCAAGGAAUUUGGGAAAAGAAAUUCCUCCAAAAUAAUUGUUGCUCAGGUCCAAGUAUUUCAAAUGCUUCAAGUUGAGUAAA